GAUGAACGCUGACGGCGUGCCUAAUACAUGCAAGUCGAGCGAACGGACGAGAAGCUUGCUUCUCUGAUGUUAGCGGCGGACGGGUGAGUAACACGUGGAUAACCUACCUAUAAGACUGGGAUAACUUCGGGAAACCGGAGCUAAUACCGGAUAAUAUUUUGAACCGCAUGGUUCAAAAGUGAAAGACGGUCUUGCUGUCACUUAUAGAUGGAUCCGCGCUGCAUUAGCUAGUUGGUAAGGUAACGGCCUACCAAGGCAACGAUGCAUAGCCGACCUGAGAGGGUGAUCGGCCACACUGGAACUGAGACACGGUCCAGACUCCUACGGGAGGCAGCAGUAGGGAAUCUUCCGCAAUGGGCGAAAGCCUGACGGAGCAACGCCGCGUGAGUGAUGAAGGUCUUCGGAUCGUAAAACUCUGUUAUUAGGGAAGAACAUAUGUGUAAGUAACUGUGCACAUCUUGACGGUACCUAAUCAGAAAGCCACGGCUAACUACGUG
rnacentral:rRNA from 1 species